GGCCCUAUAGCUCAGUUGGUUAGAGCGCUGCCCUGUCACGGCAGAGGUCGCCGGUUCAAGUCCGGUUAGGGUCG
rnacentral:tRNA from 1 species